CUGGUGGGGCCUUGGAGAACCUUUGUGUCAAUACUCUGUAUCUAACUAAUCUGAUGGGGACGUGGAGAACGUUUAUAUCUAGCUCAGGGAUUGUAAACGCACCAAUCAGCACCCUGUCAAAACAGGCCACUAGGCUCUACCAAUCAGCAGGAUGUGGGUGGGGCCAGAUAAGAUAAUAAAAGCAGGCUGCCCGAGCCAGCAGUAGCAAUUUGCUCGGGUCCUCUGCCAGAGUGUGGAAGUCUUGUUGUUUUGCUCUUUGGGUCUACACUGCUUUUAUGAGCUGUAACACUCACCGCGAAGGUCUGCAGCUUCACUCUUGAAGCCAGUGAGACCAUGAGCCCACCGGGAGAAACGAACCACUCCAGACGCGCCGCUUUAAGAGCUGUAACACUCACUGUGAAGGUCUGUAGCUUCACUCCUGAGCCAGCGCGACCACGAACCCACCAGAAGGAAGAAACUCCGAACACAUCCGAACAUCAGAAAGAAACUCCAGACGCACCACCUUAAGAGCUGUAACGUUCACCGUGAGGGUCCGUGGCUUCAUUCUUUAAGUCAGUGAGACCAAGGACCCACCAAUUCUGGACACACUGUGAGCACAGGUAUGAGCCCCUGUGGUGUGCACAGGUGUGAGUCCCUGCCAAGAGCACAUGUGUGUUUAGUUGGGCGUGCGCCUUUGGUUCAAACCUAGCCCCUUCAUGUUUCAGCCAUCUCAGCCCCACACACAGUAUUACCUUUGACCCUCUGCCCACCUCUGCCUCAAGGCACCUCCCUACCUCUUAGCUUUGUUUGAAUCCUUCCUCUACCUUCCACCUUCCUCUACCUUCCAAUCCUCUCUCGACACCACGUGGAUUUCCUGGUCACCAGACCCUCUGCCUCCACUCGCUCCUCUGACCUGCUAACUUCGAAUUGUGUGGUAUCGGGGAUAAUGUCUUUUUUUUUUUUUUUUUUUU
rnacentral:lncRNA from 1 species